rnacentral:tRNA from 1 species
UCCGGUAUAGUGUAGGUGGUUAUCACAGGAGCCUCUCACGUUCCAAACCGGGGUUCGAGUCCCCGUACCGGAA